rfam:Helicoverpa armigera nuclear polyhedrosis virus, complete genome.
CAUUUUGCGGCAUCGUAUAUUGGCGAUAUACUACACAAUGACGAAUGUUCUACACUUUUGACACAAAUUCAUGAUUCAUAUACUACACUUUCCCAAAAAUAUACUACACUCGACUCUAAAUAUACGUACGAAAACGUAAAAAACGAAAAAUUCGUCGAACAAUACGGGACGAAUAUACACAAAAAUGAACACUACGAUUUA